rnacentral:misc_RNA from 1 species
CACCACUCAAGCUAUGCUUGGUAUUGGGCAUCGCGGUCCGCCGCGUGCCUCAAAUCGACCGGCUGGGUCUUCUGUCCCCUAAGCGUUGUGGAAACUAUUCGCUAAAGGGUGUUCGGGAGGCUACGCCGUAAAACAACCCCAUUUCUAA